UCCAAAAAGCUAUUACAUCAAAUGAGUGGCUUUGUGGGCAUACUUCCAACACUCCCUUCGUCCUUUGUAUUGCUUAGUAAAUUAGGUCUACGACAAUUACAUCCAUUGUAUUAAUAAUAGCAAUUUAUUUAAGAUCGCUUUUAUUUAAUUAAUAAUAUAAAUAUAUAAAUAUCAUAAUGGGGAAAACUGUUCCCUAAUGAAAAAUCUGUUACCCGACAGGGUAUGGGGAUUCAUCCGAACCCAAUCCGCCCUGUUGUCAUCGCUACCCUAGCAUCUUGAACGAAAGUAACAACAUAAUUAACAAAUUGAAAAGGUGGCAAACAAUCAUCCAAAACAAUGUUGAGUCAAUCCUUUUUCAAUUUAGCAAAUUGGGUCGCUUGAUAUAUUUUAAUCAUUGUUUACUAAAGAGGUGGAAAAGCAAAAACUUAGCCCUAUAAAGAUAAGAUAAACUUAAAAGAGAAAAUAAAAUUUGAAUAGUUAGUUGAAAAGUUGAUAAUGUUGAUUGAGUGACAAGGUUGUUUUUUUUUUUUUCUUUUCUUUUAACAAACGUUAUUUUCUACACUAAGAGGGACAAGAGAGUAGGCUAUGACUUAUAAUAGACUAAUCAUAAUGUGAUUUAAAUUCGCCUUUGGUAAGAAUUGAACUUAAGACCUCUUACUUAUAAGUGAAGAGGAAUACCACUACACCGUAAUACUAACUGUUAAUUAAGUGACAAGCUUUUAAAAUAGCAUAAAAGUACCACAUAAGUGAGCAAUGAACAUUUUUAAAUGAAAAAAAUUGUUAACUCCGUUGAAGAUGGUCGUAGAUGCAGUGACAAUCCAAUGAGUAGACCACACACCCAAGGUAGGUAUUUACAACCCAUGCCAUUAUCUCAUAUAGCAAUUGGAAGAUGGCAAUCUCUAAAAAUCAAUAAAAACUGGCCGGUAAAAAUUGAAUUCAGAAUAAAGUUUUCGUUUAUAUUUGUAUAAAUUGUUGGAAAAUUUAAUAAUAAUAUUAUUAUAUUAAAUUUGUUAAUUGAAUGGAAAUUAGAAGUGAAGUCUUUUGGUAGAAAGAUGUGUCUACUCAAAUGAAGAGUUGCAACUUUUGACUUUUCAUAAAUAAUCACAUGCUUUCCAAAGAGGUAUCUCACAUUCUAUAAAUAGGGAAGCUCCCUAUAAUCACAAAAUAACUUUUCAUCAUACAUACAUAUAGUGCAUUAAAUAUUAGAGAGUCUUAUUGAGUUCAUAUGAAAGAGUUUAUUGUGAUUCAUGGAGCCUUGUGAUUUGGAGUGCUACUAUUACAAGGACAUGGUCGUUGUAUCUUGAGAGACAUGCGCCGAUCAAUCAUGAGCACCGUAGUGGGGCGUAAACUUGUCUUAAGGACAAAGUGUCCAACACUUGCCUCAACCGUAUUUUCGAGAUUUUUCUAAUCCAUUAUAUCAUGUUCAUUUAGCAUUGCUUACUCAUGUGCAUGCAUUAAUUUUGAUAUAUAAUUGCAUGAAUUAUUUCUUAAAAUUUUUAUGUGAUUUAAUAUAGCAAUUAUACCCUAAUUUUUCCAACAUAAAUCUUGAAGGAGUUGAAAUGCUUUCCCCUUGUUUCGUCAAAGUAUGAUACCUCAUCAAGUAUGAGUGGAUGUAAAUUUCGUCCAAGGUUGAAUUGAUGAAGCUUCACUAAUAACAAGAAAAAUCGUUAGUCUAAUUGACGAACACCUGACAAAAAGAGUGUUUUUUUUUUUUUUUU
rnacentral:lncRNA from 1 species